UGGAUACCAAAACGUGGUGCCAAUAAGGCACCGGUUCGGACAUAAACGGUAGUAACGUGACAGAAUAAGAACGAAAAUUUUGGUGCCUGACUUUUUGUUUUUCAGAAACAUUGCUGCAUGGGACGCUACGUUACCAGUAGCUAGCUAGUAGCUGGAUUAAACACAACGGUUAAAAUGCUGACAGCUUACGUGAAGCGUGUAAAGUGGGACUGUAUUUCUCUGUAGAGGAUUCCAACACCGGGACGUAACAGUCUGCAGGCAGAUGACAACACAGAUGGUGUGUUUACUUGAAAC